rnacentral:rRNA from 1 species
GGAUUAGAUACCCUGGUAGUCCACGCUGUAAACGAUGGGUACUAGAUGUUGCAGGAAUUGACCCCUGCAGUGUCGACGCAAACGCAUUAAGUACCCCGCCUGGGAAGUACGGUCGCAAGAUUAAAACUCAAAGGAAUUGACGGGGGCCCGCACAAGCGGUGGAGCAUGUGGUUUAAUUCGAUGCAACGCGAAGAACCUUACCUAGACUUGACAUCCACUGACAUCCGUAGAAGUACGGCUUUCCCUUCGGGGACAGUGAGACAGGUGCUGCAUGGCUGUCGUCAGCUCGUGCCG